UACGUAGGGUGCAAGCGUUGUCCGGAAUUAUUGGGCGUAAAGAGCUCGUAGGCGGUGUGUCGCGUCGGCUGUGAAAACCCGGAGCUCAACUCCGGGCCGGCAGUCGAUACGGGCAGACUGGAGUGGUGCAGGGGAGACUGGAAUUCCUGGUGUAGCGGUGAAAUGCGCAGAUAUCAGGAGGAACACCGGUGGCGAAGGCGGGUCUCUGGGCACCAACUGACGCUGAGGAGCGAAAGCGUGGGGAGCGAACAGGAUUAGAAACCCCUGUAGUCC
rnacentral:rRNA from 1 species